rnacentral:rRNA from 1 species
UACGGAGGGUGCGAGCGUUGUUCGGAUUUACUGGGCGUAAAGCGCACGUAGGCGGAUUGUUAAGUCGGGGGUGAAAUCCUGGAGCUCAACUCCAGAAUUGCCUUCGAUACUGGCUUUCUAGAGGCUGGAAGAGGUUAGUGGAAUUCCCAGUGUAGAGGUGAAAUUCGUAGAUAUUGGGAAGAACACCAGUGGCGAAGGCGGCUAACUGGUCCAGAUCUGACGCUGAGGUGCGAAAGCGUGGGGAGCAAACAGG